rnacentral:rRNA from 1 species
AGGACGAACGCUGGCGGCGUGCUUAACACAUGCAAGUCGAGCGGAAAGGCCCUUCGGGGUACUCGAGCGGCGAACGGGUGAGUAACACGUGAGUAAUCUGCCCCUAGCUCUGGGAUAGCUCCGGGAAACCGGGAUUAAUACCGGAUACGACCACCUUAGACAUCUUUUGUGGUGGAAAGAAUUUCGGCUAGGGAUGAGCUCGCGGCCUAUCAGCUUGUUGGUGGGGUAACGGCCUACCAAGGCGACGACGGGUAGCCGGCCUGAGAGGGCGACCGGCCACGACUGGGACUGAGACACGGCCCAGACUCCUACGGGAGGCAGCAGUGGGGAAUCUUGCGCAAUGGACGAAAGUCUGACGCAGCAACGCCGCGUGGGGGAUGAAGCUUCUCGGAGUGUAAACCCCUUUCGACCCGGACGAAUGCCCGCAAGGGUUUGACGGUACGGGUAUAAGAAGCCCCGGCUAACUACGUGCCAGCAGCCGC